UGUCUCCGCUACAAGACUGUCAAUGGCAACUUCCCGUAGCAAUGUCCGGGGCAGCGCCAACCACGGCGCGAGUCCUCCCGGGUGCUCGUUCCCCCGAGCCGCAGACCCUUUCUCUGUCAGCGCGGCCCGUGUACUGCGGCCCCCCAAACGGUGCACAGGCUUCUAAAGAAGGAAAAGCAGCGGGCGUUCUGGCAGUGCCCGGCAUCCUGGUAGGCAUUAGUAACCCGCCAGCUCCCUCCCAAUAGCUCAACUGCUGUUAAAAUUUUUAAGAAGGAGCUUUCAGGGAAGCUCGCCUGACCUGUAAUUGCCUUGAAGUUCAGAUUGGCCCUAAUGACUUCUGUGACAGCAGUGGAAAGUGAGCAUCGGAGAGGGGGCUUGGCAUCCUACUGAUGUACCUAAGAAAAGAUGUACUUGAGAAGUGAUACACUUAAUGAGUGAUUUACUUAAGAAGACCACGAAAGUCUUGUGAAAUAAGAUAUCCUUUGUAUAUACAAGGCAUGCCUUGCUAACGACUGGGCCCCUGAAGGAGAACUCAAAGACUGAUAAGAAGGGAACAUCCUACCCCAGGAGGCGCCGAGAAGUUGAAAAAUUGCUAAUAGGCAUGAAGUCAGCCAAAAUCUUUGAUAACUGGAGGAAAGGUAAAGGCAGCAGGGGGAGAUCACGACCACCGACUCAAUUGAAGACCAAAACACUUAAACACCCCCUCCCCCCCCUUGAGCAUGCGCUGUGGAAUAAAAGAAAUAAAAGAACACUACCUUUAAUUUGAAGCGGGGAAACUUUAACCCAAUAGAAACUGUACUAGAUAAGCGACUCCCAGUAAUAGUUUUGGGGAAGAACUUUGGAAUUGGAAUAUGUAUAACUAAACUGUAUAAAUUGCUUGCCCGUUUAGGCAUGAGGGGUGCUAGCUUUGUGGAUUACCACCUAGCCGCCAUCUUUGCGCAAAUAUGAAUUGGAAUAAAAUACCUCUGCUCUGUGUGUAACUGGCAUUUCGCGCAGCGGGUGAACGACCCCACUUGUGGGACAACACUACCAGGGUGCUGUCAGGUGAGCAGUGAUGGCUUUCUUGGGCAGAAGGAGAAACCCUAUUUUAAAUAAAGCCUUUCAGCCUUUCUAAGUCAAAUUGGCAUCUCCUGGAAAACUCACAAAACUUGACUUUUAAAACUUCUAGCACAGUCCCCGAGAGCUUCUUUGCCAUGAUCAUGCAUGCUAAAUGUCUUCGCAGACCUCCCAUAGUUCCCAAACUUGGAGAUAGACUGCUGCCUUUUUGUGCUUUUCCUGAGGGUGAAUUAUGAAGGGGUUUGGUUUUUUCAGUGAAUAAUGUGCUACAAAAGCACAAGUAUCAAAAAUAAAAUUCAGUAUCAUGUUACUAUUUAUUUUUCUUCUUUGCCUUUCUCUCUAGAUUUUCUUUAGAUCCCACAAGAAUAGGGAGAGUGGAUAAUGCAUAUGCUUUGUAAAGUCCAAAAUGUUGUGCCAAAAAAACUUAACUUUCUUUGCUCAAAACACUUCACAUCCUCUUGUUUUGGCCUCAGUGGACAAACUACAUGACUUAGAAUAGAUACCGUUCCAAUGCCUUGACUUCAUACAAAACUCAAAGUAAUGGAAUGUGUCUAUCAUGUCCUAAAUUUCUCUAAUUUCUUCUGUUUAAAACUGUGGAUUCUAUUAAGAUAUUUACAAGGAAGAAUGAAGCAAGUUAAAAGUUUGCCUUUUUUUUUUUUUUUUUACAGGUAUCCAUCAUACUACAGUAGUGUGUUUGUGUCAGUUCUUCUAUUCAAAUAGAUGUUAUCUCUAGAAAUCAUGCUUCAUUGGUGGCUUAUACUAUUUUACAUAUCCCACAUUACGAAAAACAUCCAUAAAUAUGACACAGGACCUACUGAAAACUUUCUGAAAUAGCAGCUAGAGGUCAGGCAGUUUUCUUAAACAGGUGCUAGGUGCCUAUGUCUGUGUCUGAAAUCUGAUCCACUGUAGUUACAGAGAAGUUUCAAUAUCACUGCAUCUCAGCUGCAGAAGUUUCCCCCCCAGCAGAUGUUUGCUUAUUUGGGCAUCCCAGAGCUUUGCAUAUAUCUGGUUCCAGUUUCCUUUGUACAGUUACCUUUAUUUCUAAGUGUUUUCAUACACCAGUAGGAAAUUAGAAAUCAGUAUUAUUAGUGGGAAGGAAAAUGUUUAUAGAAAUGUAAGGUAUUGGCAAAAAAGCAACAACUCUAUGGGAAAUUAACCUGAUGUGCAUAUUCCCACUCUAUUGAUUGUUACUGUAUGUUUGCCUACAGUUCAUCCAACAAGUGUGCUGAAUUUAUUCAACAAUGCUGUAUUAGCUGUAUUAUAAAUUUCUAGCUGAGAUACUUAACCAUCUGAAAAAGAAGAUCCUGAGAAUCUUCCAGUGGUUUUGUGUAUCCUACAGUAUCAUGUUCCCUUCUUUUAUUUCAGUUAUCUGAUACUGCCUGCUUUUUUCUCUCAUCUAGGGUUAUCAGGCAAGUAAUUUUAUGUCUAAAUUUUCAGGAAGAAGCAGAUUCAUUAACUGUAUUCAUCACUUAAUAAACAGGGAAAUUGCUAGUGUUAAAUUCUGUUCUGUAAAGGGAAUAAAACGGCAUGUGUAAAAAGAA